CCAGACUCCUACGGGAGGCAGCAGUGAGGAAUAUUGGUCAAUGGGCGCGAGCCUGAACCAGCCAAGUCGCGUGAGGGAUGACGGCCCUACGGGUUGUAAACCUCUUUUGUCGGGGAGCAAAUUCCGUUACGUGUAACGGAGUCGAGAGUACCCGAAGAAAAAGCAUCGGCUAACUCCGUGCCAGCAGCCGCGGUAAUACGGAGGAUGCGAGCGUUAUCCGGAUUUAUUGGGUUUAAAGGGUGCGUAGGCGGGCUGUCAGGUAGGGGGAAAAAUCGGGGGCCCCCCCCUCCGCCCGCCGUUGAAACUGACGGUCUUGAGUGGGCGAGAAGUAUGCGGAAUGCGUGGUGUAGCGGUGAAAUGCAUAGAUAUCACGCAGAACUCCGAUUGCGAAGGCAGCAUACCGGCGCCCAACUGACGCUGAAGCACGAAAGCGUGGGUAUCGAACAGGAUUAGAUACCCGCGUAC
rnacentral:rRNA from 1 species